rnacentral:rRNA from 1 species
AAUGAAAAUAUGUUUAUGUUAAAAUUUGAAAUAAAAAAUGAGUUUCAGAAAAAUAGUUUUAAUUAGAACAGUUAUUAGUAUUUAAGAAAUAACUUUUUUGGACCUAGUGCAAAAGUACCGUGAGGGAAACGUGAAAUAAAAAUGAAAAUUUGAUUGAUUAAAAGAAGAAGUAAAAACUUGUACCUUUUGUAUCAGGGAGGAUCGAAAUAUACUAAUAAUGUUAGAGUUCCCGAAAAAAGAAUAGCUAAGAGCUUAUGUUUAUCCCGGUGGAAAAUUGGUUUAUAAUAAGUCCUUAGUGGUGAAAUGCUAGUCGGGUCUUUUGAUAUCUGGUUGUUUUGGAAAUAAAUUUAAUUUGGCCUAAACUAGUAAAUAAUAAUAGUUUAGUUGAAUGGCCGGAGGGAAAAGCUUCUGGUCAUAAAUCUUGGUAUAAAUAAAAUUUCUUUUAAUAUGCAAUUCUAACUGGGCUUAGAAGUAGCCAUGUUUAUAAAGUGUCUUAACUAAGAUAAAGCUUUAAUAGAAUAUUUUUAUAAUUUUUAUCAAAAAUACGAAACUUUAAGUGAGAAUUUGAAUAACUUAGCAAUAAUGAUCUUAUUAGUAUAAUCAUUUCUGUGUGUUCGAUUAAGCAAAUUUAAAAUAAAAUAUAUUUCUUGUUGAAUAAAAGAGGAUAUAGCAAAGGAACUCGGCAAAAGAGAUUUCUGCCUGUUUAUCAAAAACAUGUCUUUAUGAAUAUUCAUGUAAAGUCUAGCCUGCCCAGUGACAUUAAAGUUUAACGGCCGCGGUAGCAUGACCGUGCUAAGGUAGCAU